rnacentral:rRNA from 1 species
CCAAUAGCGUAUAUUAAAGUUGUUGCAGUUAAAAAGCUCGUAGUUGAAUUUCGGGAUUGACGUGACGGUCAUGCCUUAAGGGGUAUGAACUGUUACAGUUGAUUUCUCACCUUCUGGAGAAACUUGAUGUCCUUUAUUGGGUGUCUUGCGGAUCCAGGACCUUUACCUUGAAAAAAUUAGAGUGUUUAAAGCAGGCAUUUUUGCUCGAAUACGUUAGCAUGGAAUAAUAGAAUAGGACGGCAUGGUUCUAUUUUGUUGGUUUCUAGGAUCACCGUAAUGAUUAAUAGGGAUAGUUGGGGGCAUUAGUAUUCAAUUGUCAGAGGUGAAAUUCUUGGAUUUAUUGAAGACUAACUACUGCGAAAGCAUUUGCCAAGGAUGUUUUCAUUAUUCAAGAACGAAAGUUAGGGGAUCGAAGACGAUCAGAUACCGUCGUAGUCUUAACCAUAAACUAUGCCGACUAGGAAUCAGACGAUGUUAAUUUUUUAAUGACUCGUUUGGCACCUUACG